rnacentral:rRNA from 1 species
AGCAGCCGCGGUAAUUCCAGCUCCAAUAGCGUAUAUUAAAGUUGUUGCAGUUAAAAAGCUCGUAGUUGAAUUUCGGGGUUAGUAGGUUGGUCGUGCCACUGGUACGUACUGGUCUCACUGAUUCCUCCUUCCUGAUGAACUGUAAUGCCAUUAAUUUGGUGUUGCAGGGAAACUGGGCUGUUACUUUGAAAAAAAUUUAGAGUGUUUAAAGCAAGCUAACGCUUGAAUACAUUAGCAUGGAAUAAUGAAAUAGGACGUUCGAUCCUAUUUUGUUGGUUUCUAGGAUUGACGUAAUGAUUAAUAGGGAUAGUUGGGGGGCAUUAGUAUUCAAUUGUCAGAGGUGAAAUUCUUGGAUUUAUUGAAGACUAACUACUGCGAAAGCAUUUUGCCAAGGAUGUUUUCAUUUAAUCAAGAAACGAAAGUUAGGGGUAUCGAAGACGAUCAGAUACCGUCGUAGUCUUAACCAUAAACUAUGCCGACUAGGGAUCGGAUGAUGUUAAUUUUUUUAAUGACUCA